rnacentral:lncRNA from 1 species
AUGUCACAAAGGGGGCUCUGCCUGCCCCAUGAUGUCACAAAGGGCUAUAACAGGCCCCAGGACACGGGGCACUGCAGGUGGGCACCACCUCAGCCUCUGCCACCCCAGCAGUGUUGGGAUCCCAUCACUGGGACCCCGCAGGUCACUGGGGAAGCUCGUCCCCAGCCUGUGCUGGUGACCUGGAGUGGCAGGGAUGGUGCCAUGAGGUCCCUCGACAUGUUCACCAUGGGGGAGCUGGUUGCAGUCAUGAUCCUGGUGCUGCAGCUCCUCCUGGUCGCUGUCGUGCUGCGGGACAAGCGUCUCUGGAGGAUCCUGCAGAACUGGAGGUGUCCAAGGGCAGCGAGAGCCCAGCCGGAGGAGCAGAGCAGCGUGGACAGGGCGCAGGAAUCGGCAGACACGUCCCCUGGCAGCUCCCAACGAAGUUCCAUGAGCUACAGGAAGCAUUUCCCAAGGUUCAUCCAGAGCUCCCAGGACUCCCCGGCGCUCACUGAGGAGCAGCAGAGCGAGCUGAAGGCACAGCUGGCCCAGCAGCAAUACAGAGGAGGGGACUGCAGGGUGCUCCAGACCGAGGUGCCAGUGGAGCUGCCGGGACUGCUAGGGGGCAGAGAGUCUCCCCAGUGCCUUGCAGUGGAGCUGCCAGGGCCGGACAUGAAUGAGGGGACAGAAGAAACCAAACGUAAGAACACAGGACAGUGCAGCAGGGACUACAUGACACUGCAACGCAGAAGAUCCGUGCUGAUGGCCAGGCUGCUCCCUAGACUAGUGGUGAUUGUAAAUCCCACAGUGUUGGAAAGCUGCAGCAGCAGCAGCAGCAGCUCCAUGGAGGUGCAAUACAGCAGCACCACCGCUGGAUGGUUCCUGGGGAAGCUCCGUGCCUGGCUCCAGAGAUCCCUGGAGGCCUCGCAGACACGCUUUGUUCAGCGCCGCCGGGGCUUCUGCAUCCGUCUGAGGUCCCAGCGGUGGUGGCGGCGCUGGACCCAGAGGAGAAAAGGGCGUAGUAAUCAUGAGUAGUCAGGGAGGGGUGGAGGAAUGGGGUGCUUCAGGAUCCACCUGGACAGCCCAAUCCCUGUCCCUCUCCAGAUCCCCCUGUAGAGCCCUCCUGUCCUGUAGAAGACACACACUCUCACCCAACCUGUCCUCUGCAAACUGACUGAGGGUCCCCUCCUCUUCCCCACCCACCAAUGCUGUAGCACCAUCAUAGAAAAUCACCAGUUUUGUCAAACAUGAUUUUGCCUUUAUAAAGCCACGUUGGCUGUUUCCAAUCAUCCCUUUGUUUUCCAUAUGCCUUAUCAUAGUUUUCAAGAGAAUCUGCUCCACGAUCUUGCUUGGUGCAGAGGUAACACUGACUGGUCUGUAGUUCCCUGGGUCUUCUGCUUUCCCCUUUUUAAAAAUGGGAGUUAUAUUUCCCUUUUUCAAGUCAUCAGGGACUUCAUGUAACUGCCAAAAUUUUUCAGAAAUGAUGGAUAGUGGCUUAGCAACUUUGUCUGCCAAUUCCCUCAGGACCUAUGGAUGGAUUUUGUUUGGUCCCAUGGACUUGUUUACAUUCAGGUUCCUUAGAUGGUCUCAAACCUUAUCCUCUCCUACAGGGGGCUCAGGGUCUUCAUUCUCUCAACCCCUGCAUUUGCCUUUCCUGACUUGGGUGGCGUGGCUGCAGCACUUGGUGUUGAAGACUGAGGCAUAGAAGUUGUUGAGAACCUCAGCCUUCUCUUUGUCCAGGGUAGCCAGGUCUCUUGUUUCCUUCUGGUGAGGACCCACAUUAUCCCUCGUCUUGCUUGCAACAUAUCUAUAGAAUCCCUUCCUGUUAUCCUUAAUAUCCUUGGCCAGACUCAAUUCUAAUGGGCCUUGGCUUCCCUAACCUUGUCCCUAGCUUCUCUUACAGUUUCCCUGUAUUCCUCCCAAGCCACCAGUCCUCAUUUCCACUUCCUGAAAGCUGCUUCUUUUGCUCUGAGUUUGCUCAGCAACUCCUUAUCCAUCCAUGGAAGCCUCAUGGCAUUUCUGCCCCAUUUCCUCA